CAGCCGCCGCGGGAAUACGUAGGGGGCGAGCGUUGUCCGAAGUUACUGGGCGUAAAGCGCGUGUAGGCGGGUCUUUAAGUGAGGGGUGAAAGGUUUGGGCUUAACCCAGACACUGCCUUUCAUACUGGAGACCUUGAGUGCGGGAGAGGCGAGUGGAAUGGUCGGUGUAGCGGUGAAAUGCGAAGAUAUCGAUCGGAACACCCAUGGCGAAGGCAGCUCGCUGGCCUGUAACUGACGCUGAGACGCGAAAGCGUGGGGAGCAAACAGGAUUAGAUACCCGCGUAGUCCCUGUCUCUUAUAC
rnacentral:rRNA from 1 species